GAUUAACGCUAGCGGCAGGCCUAAUACAUGCAAGUCGAACGGCAGCACGGGUAGCAAUACCUGGUGGCGAGUGGCGCACGGGUGCGUAACGCGUAUGCAACCUACCUAUAACUGGGGAAUAGCCUUCUGAAAGGAAGAUUAACACCGCAUAAUAUCACGAGACGGCAUCGCCUUGUGAUCAAAUCUCCGGAGGUUAUAGAUGGGCAUGCGUGACAUUAGCUAGUUGGUGAGGUAACGGCUCACCAAGGCUACGAUGUCUAGGGGGUCUGAGAGGAUGAUCCCCCACACUGGUACUGAGACACGGACCAGACUCCUACGGGAGGCAGCAGUAAGGAAUAUUGGACAAUGGGCGCAAGCCUGAUCCAGCCAUGCCGCGUGAAGGAUGACGGCCCUCUGGGUUGUAAACUUCUUUUAUACGGGAAUAAACCCCUCGAUUCUUCGGGGGCUGAAUGUACUGUAAGAAUAAGGAUCGGCUAACUUCGUGCCAGCCGCCGCUGUAA
rnacentral:rRNA from 1 species